AUUUUUCGGNUGAACGCUGGCGGCAUGUUCUAACACAUGCAAGUCGAGCGGAAACGACUUAACUGAACCUUCGGGGGACGUUAAGGGCGUCGAGCGGCGGACGGGUGAGUAAUGCUUAGGGAUCUGCCCAGUCGUGGGGGAUAACAGUUGGAAACGACUGCUAAUACCGCAUACGCCCUACGGGGGAAAGGAGGGGACCUUCGGGCCUUUCGCGAUUGGAUGAACCUAAGUGAGAUUAGCUAGUUGGUGAGGUAAUGGCUCACCAAGGCGACGAUCUCUAGCUGGUCUGAGAGGAUGAUCAGCCACACUGGAACUGAGACACGGUCCACACUCCUACNGGAGGCANCACUGNGNAAUANUGCACANUGGGCCAAAGCCUGAUGCANCCAUGCCNCGUG
rnacentral:rRNA from 1 species